GUCGAGAAUCUUUCACAAUGGGGGCAACCCUGAUGGAGCGACGCCGCGUGGAGGAUAAGGUCUUCGGAUUGUAAACUCCUGUCAUGCGUGAACAAGGUUGCUUGGUUAAUACCUGGGCAAAUUGAUGGUAACGCAAGAGGAAGAGACGGCUAACUCUGUGCCAGCAGCCGCGGUAAUACAGAGGUCUCAAGCGUUGUUCGGAAUCACUGGGCGUAAAGGGUGCGUAGGUGGCGUGGUAAGUCAGAUGUGAAAGCCCGGGGCUCAACCUCGGAACUGCAUCCGAUACUGCCAUGCUAGAGUACUGGAGAGGUGACUAGAAUUCUCGGUGUAGCAGUGGAAUGCGUAGAUAUCGAGAGGAAUACCAAAGGCGUAGGCAGGUCACUGGACAGUUACUGACACUGAGGCACGAAGGCCAGGGGAGCGAACGGGAUUAGAUACCCGGGUAGUCC
rnacentral:rRNA from 1 species